AUACGUAGGGGGCGAGCGUUAUCCGGAUUCAUUGGGCGUAAAGCGCGCGUAGGCGGCCCGGCAGGCCGGGGGUCGAAGCGGGGGGCUCAACCCCCCGAAGCCCCCGGAACCUCCGCGGCUUGGGUCCGGUAGGGGAGGGUGGAACACCCGGUGUAGCGGUGGAAUGCGCAGAUAUCGGGUGGAACACCGGUGGCGAAGGCGGCCCUCUGGGCCGAGACCGACGCUGAGGCGCGAAAGCUGGGGGAGC
rnacentral:rRNA from 1 species